rnacentral:rRNA from 1 species
UGGGGAAUAUUGCGCAAUGGGGGAAACCCUGACGCAGCGACGCCGCGUGUGGGAAGAAGGCCUUCGGGUCGUAAACCACUGUCAAGAGGGAAGAACCGCAUGGGGGCGAAUAGGCCCUGUGCCUGACGGUACCUCUGGAGGAAGCACCGGCUAACUCCGUGCCAGCAGCCGCGGUAAUACGGAGGGUGCAAGCGUUAAUCGGAAUCACUGGGCGUAAAGCGCACGUAGGCGGUAGUGUAAGUCAGACGUGAAAUCCCUUGGCUUAACUGAGGAACUGCGUUUGAAACUGCACAACUUGAGUGCUGGAGAGGGUGGCGGAAUUCCCGGUGUAGGAGUGAAAUCCGUAGAUAUCGGGAGGAACACCAGUGGCGAAGGCGGCCACCUGGACAGACACUGACGCUGAGGUGCGAAAGCGUGGGUAGCAAACA